rnacentral:rRNA from 1 species
GAUGAACGCUGGCGGCGUGCCUAACACAUGCAAGUCGAACGGAGUCCAGCCUUUAAGACCUUCGGGUCAAAGAGGGGAAGACUGAGUGGCGGACGGGUGAGUAACACGUGGGCAACCUGGCUCAUAGAGGGGGAUAACAGAGAGAAAUUUCUGCUAAUACCGCAUAAGCACACACUGCCGCAUGGCAGAGGGUGAAAAGAGAAUCGCUAUGAGAUGGACCCGCGUCUGAUUAGCCAGUUGGCAGGGUAAGAGCCUACCAAAGCGACGAUCAGUAGCCGAUCUGAGAGGAUGAACGGCCACAUUGGGACUGAGACACGGCCCAAACUCCUACGGGAGGCAGCAGUGGGGGAUAUUGCACAAUGGGGGGAACCCUGAUGCAGCGACGCCGCGUGAGUGAAGAAGUAUUUCGGUAUGUAAAGCUCUAUCAGCAGGGAAGAUAAUGACGGUACCUGAAUAAGAAGCCCCGGCUAACUACGUG